CUUGCUGGCCCUGGCAUCGGCGAAGAGAGUAGGGGAACUUCAUGGUCUUUCCUAUGAUGUACGACACUCCAGGGGAUGGGGAUCCGUGACGCUCGAUUUCGUCCCGAACUUCGUUGCGAAGACUCAGAAACCGUCAGUCCCUGAUGACAGGUUCGAGUCAUUCACGAUUCCCUCCCUAUUGGACUUCACCGAUAAUGAUGCGGAUGAGAUGCUGCUUUGUCCUGUGAGGGCGCUACGGCGCUAUCUGAAGAGAACUCGACACCUCAGGCCUGAGUGUCGACGCCUCUUCGUUAGCACCGGGUCACCAAGAAAGAAGUAUCCAAGAACACUCUUUCAUUCUGGCUGCGUGAGGUCAUCAGGAGGGCGUAUGAGGCUGAUGGUAGUGACGACAUCCGUACGUCCCGUCCGAGAGCUCACGAAGUCAGAAGUAUUGGCCCCUCGUUGGCGUUUCGCAAGAACUUCUCCGUGGCGCAGGUCCUGAAGGCAGGGGUCUGGUCUAACCAGACUACCUUUACGUCCUUCUACCUUCGGGAUAUUGCCCACAGGUCCUUGGAUACCUUUUCCUUGGGACCCGUGGUGGCUGCUCAACAAGUUGUGUAGCUAACCCAGACCCUCGCAGGCUGAACAGCAUCGAGUCCUGUGUGACUGUGUGGAUGGAUGUGUGAGUGGAGUGAGUGACUGGCUCUCUCUUCCCAUCUUUCCUUCCCUCUACCUGUGGGCAGAGGGCCAUGGUCGUCACUACGCUGGAUGAGGACGAGAUGCAGGUGAGCUAUAUGACAGAGCCCCAUCCUAUCCCUUUCACUAGGGAUAGGAGCAGAAUAUCCACCACUUCCUUCUACAAGGGGGGGAAGUGGAUGCCUACAAGAGUCAAACCCAUGACUUAUAUUUGCUCCUGUACAGGAACAAGUUCUUGCAUUGCUGGUACUAAGAGAUGCGCAUGCCCCUCUCUUAGUACUCGGUCCAGAGGUCUGACCAUUGAUCCUGCGGUGCACACCCCGAUCAAUCGGACAGAGGCUUGGAUCCCUCCCUCGCUCUUACGACCAGGGAGGCUUCCAAGGUUGGGCGAACACCAGUCUGUUCACAAAAGACUCAGAUUCCACCCACCAAGAAGUGAGUCUUCCUAUUGUAAAAGGACCGAAGGUUUGUAUGCCGUGUCGGAACAAAUGACAAUUUGUCCAAAAUUGCAUUUUUCCUAACUAUACAAACCUGAGGUCCUUUUACACAUAGCCCCACCUCAUGCCACCCCUCACUCUGCAGUUUUUG